CCACUCCUUCUGACAUGGCUCCGGAAGGAAGAUCGCGAGUCCGGAGGAUGGACAAAGUAAGGAAGAUGCCACUGCGGGAUUCGGAAAAAUGCAAGAAUUAGAAUGCACGAGGGUCCUGGGCUGGGAGGAGGAUGCUUGCUCUGUCAAGGCACAGCCUAUUGUCUCCUUUGCUCAGCGUGACAUCAUUCAGAUGCUUCUACAGAGGUGACAGUCCAACAGAUUCCCAAAAGGACUUGAUUGAAAUCCCUUUGCCUCCAUGGCAGGAGAGAACUGAUGAAUCCAUAGAAACCAAAAGAGCCCGCCUGCUCUAUGAGAGCAGAAAGAGGGGAAUGUUGGAAAACUGCAUUCUUCUUAGUCUUUUUGCUAAAGAACAUCUGCAGCACAUGACAGAGAAGCAGCUGAACCUCUAUGACCGCCUGAUUAACGAGCCUAGUAAUGACUGGGAUAUUUACUACUGGGCCACAGGCCCCUCGGGGCCCUGGCCCACAGCAUCAUGAUGGGGAAACUCCCCCUGGGGGUCGUCUCCCCUUAUGUGAAGAUGAGUUCGGGGGGCUACACGGACC
rnacentral:sRNA from 1 species